rnacentral:rRNA from 1 species
GACGAACGCUGGCGGCGUGCCUAAUACAUGCAAGUCGAGCGAAGUUUUUCUGGUGCUUGCACUAGAAAAACUUAGCGGCGAACGGGUGAGUAACACGUAAAGAACCUGCCUCAUAGACUGGGACAACUAUUGGAAACGAUAGCUAAUACCGGAUAAUAGCAUUAACUGCAUGGUUGAUGUUUGAAAGUUGGUUUUGCUAACACUAUGAGAUGGCUUUGCGGUGCAUUAGCUAGUUGGUGGGGUAAAGGCCUACCAAGGCGACGAUGCAUAGCCGACCUGAGAGGGUGAUCGGCCACACUGGGACUGAGACACGGCCCAGACUCCUACGGGAGGCAGCAGUAGGGAAUCUUCCGCAAUGGGCGAAAGCCUGACGGAGCAACGCCGCGUGAGUGAAGAAGGAUUUCGGUUCGUAAAGCUCUGUUGUUAGGGAAGAAUGAUUAUGUAGUAACUAUACAUAGUAGAGACGGUACCUAACCAGAAAGCCACGGCUAACUACGUGCCAGCAGCCGCGGGUAAUACGUAGGUGGCAAGCGUUGUCCGGAAUUAUUGGGCGUAAAGCGCGCGCAGGUGGUUUAAUAAGUCUGAUGUGAAAGCCCACGGCUCAACCGUGGAGGGUCAUUGGAAACUGUUAAACUUGAGUGCAGGGAGAGAAAAGUGGAAUUCCUAGUGUAGCGGUGAAAUGCGUAGAGAUUAGGAGGACACCAGUGGCGAAGGCGGCUUUUUGGCCUGUAACUGACACUGAGGCGCGAAGCGUGGGGAGCAAACAGAAUAGAUACCCUGGUAGUCCAAGGGCGAAUUCCACAGUGGAUAUCAGCUUAUCGAUACCGUCGGACCUCGAGGGGGGGCUCUGUACCCUGCUUUUGUUCCUAUUAAGAGAGAGAUAAAUCGGGGG